CGUUAUGAGUUUAGAGGUAAGGGGUUUAGAGGCAAGGGGUUUAAGGUAGAGUUUAGACGUCAUGAGUUUAGAGGUAAGGGGUUCAGAGGCGAGGGGUUUAAGGUAGAGUUUAGACGUUAUGAGUUUAGAUGUAAGGGGUUCAGAGGCGAGGAGUUUAAGGUAGAGUUUAGACGUUAUGAGUUUAGAGGCGAGGGGUUCAGAGGC
rnacentral:lncRNA from 1 species